rnacentral:rRNA from 1 species
UACGAAGGGGGCUAGCGUUGCUCGGAAUGACUGGGCGUAAAGCGUGCGUAGUCGGUUAUUUAAGUCGGAUGUGAAAUCCCCGGGCUCAACCUGGGAAUUGCAUUCGAUACUGGAUAGCUAGAGUUCGGCAGAGGGAAGCGGAAUUUCGGGUGUAGCGGUGAAAUGCGUAGAUAUCCGAAGGAACAUCAGUGGCGAAGGCGGCUUCCUGGACCAGAACUGACGAUCAGGCACGAAAGCGUGGGGAGCAAACAGG